CUCCUGUUUGAAUCACUUACGAGCAAACUUGCUGCCUGAACAUCAACCAGCAAGAUGAAUAAUUUGCCCGUCGCCUUGCUGUCAGCUCUGCUGCUGGCUUUUUGCAUCUCAUCCCAGAUUAUCCAGGCAAACGCCGCCAACGGGACCACCAUCAAACCCCCUGUCACAACCAACACCGCCAGCAUGAGUGGAAUGACCACCGCCGUCCCGCUGCUCCUGCUCCCUUUGACUUUAGCGGCUGUCCUCCUUCACGACUGGUCCCGGGGUUGGGACUAACUUCACCCGUACUGUGGACCCAGAUGGACAGCGGAUGCAAAAGUCUACCGCCUCAAGAUGAAGUUCCCUAAAGAACUUUUUUUUUCAUCCGUUUUACGCACCAAAGCAGGACUCGCCCUUUUCUUCUCUGGACGUCCUGAUCCUUUCUGGGUGUCUUAUGAGCUAUAAAUCAGGAAGAAUACUAAAUCUGUGUAGAAAUGUUUGUGGGUGUGGGAGAAAAUGUAUCUAUUAAGAGGAUUUUAAAAUGAAAGUAGUUCUGAUCAACUUCAUUGCAAAUAUUUGUAUCUAUUUAAGUGCUGUGAAACUUGAAGUAAAUAAAGGUGUAAAAUGUC